rnacentral:rRNA from 1 species
GAUGAACGCUAGCGGCAGGCCUAAUACAUGCAAGUCGAACGGUAACAGGCCCAGCAAUGGGUGCUGACGAGUGGCGCACGGGUGCGUAACACGUAUGCAAUCUACCUUUAACUGGAGCAUAGCCCCGAGAAAUCGGGAUUAAUUCUCCAUAGCAUUAUGAAGUGGCAUCACUUUAUAAUUAAAGUCACAACGGUUAAAGAUGAGCAUGCGCGACAUUAGCUAGUUGGUGAGGUAACGGCUCACCAAGGCUACGAUGUCUAGGGGUUCUGAGAGGAUUAACCCCCACACUGGUACUGAGACACGGACCAGACUCCUACGGGAGGCAGCAGUAAGGAAUAUUGGACAAUGGUGGCAACACUGAUCCAGCCAUGCCGCGUGCAGGAUGACGGCCCUAUGGGUUGUAAACUGCUUUUGUACGGGAAAAAACCCCUCUACGUGUAGAGGGCUGAUGGUACCGUAAGAAUAAGGAUCGGCUAACUCCGUGCC